UUGAACGCUGGCGGCAUGCCUUACACAUGCAAGUCGAACGGCAGCACGGGGGCAACCCUGGUGGCGAGUGGCGAACGGGUGAGUAAUGCAUCGGAACGUGCCCUGAAGUGGGGGAUAACGUAGCGAAAGUUACGCUAAUACCGCAUAUUCUGUGAGCAGGAAAGCAGGGGAUCGCAAGACCUUGCGCUUUAGGAGCGGCCGAUGUCGGAUUAGCUAGUUGGCGAGGUAAAGGCUCACCAAGGCAACGAUCCGUAGCGGGUCUGAGAGGAUGAUCCGCCACACUGGGACUGAGACACGGCCCAGACUCCUACGGGAGGCAGCAGGGGGGAAUUUUGGACAAUGGGCGCAAGCCUGAUCCAGCCAUUCCGCGUGAGUGAAGAAGGCCUUCGGGUUGUAAAGCUCUUUCAGCAGGGAAGAAACGGUUGUGGUUAAUACCCAUGGCUAAUGACGGUACCUGAAGAAGAAGCACCGGCUAACUACGU
rnacentral:rRNA from 1 species